rnacentral:lncRNA from 7 species
AAAACUGUUUAUUUACAUUAAAAUCAAAGCCUACUUUCAAGUGAAUCAUGAAGUCAAAGGAGUUUGAAGUACGUGUAUUAACUGUUUGCUAAUCUGAAACGUAAGUUUCUUGGUAGAAAGAAAGAGCCAGGAUUGUUCCUUAUGCAAUGGUUCUAUCUCAAUAUAACCUUCAGUAAAGUGUUUAAAAUCCUGACAAUCCUUUUUCUCCAAACCAAAUAAAUGUUCCCACAAGCCUUUUCUCUCCCUUCUCUCUUUCCCUCUGUCUUUGCCUCUAUCCAUCUGUCCUCCUACAUCAUUUAACAAAUAUCCUUCUCUGUCUGAUCACCAGUUCUAAGAGGCUUUUGUACAGUGCCUUCAUUUCAGAAGUUUUUAACGUGUUUGCCUAUCUUAUUAUGCCUCCUUUGGUCCCCUCAGAAAACAGAUUUUCCCACUUCCCAAUAUGAUCAGUUAUUUUUUUAACCCUCCUUCCAUGGAUUUUUCCUCUUUCACUCAGUAAGCAGAUUUUUGAACUUUGCAUAAAAAUGUCUGUCAAUACGAAGAUAUGUUUUACUCUACCACUUACUCUGUUGUCUAAGUGCUCUCUUUAAGAUGUGGCAGAUCCUACAAACAGUGCUUCUUCAGAUACGUUUUAUGUGGUUUGACAAUAUUUAGGUGGUGCUGUACAGGGAGUUUCUUUCAAAACACAUCAUGUACAUUAUUAGGUAAGAUACAGAGUUCAAAAGCGUAUUGUUUUAGACCACAAACAUCACAUAUGCUGAACAGUUGAGGCAGUCUGAAAUAGCGGAAUACUUGGGACAGGAUCCCUGGCAAACACAUCACGUGUAGAUGUAAAUAUAGCACAAGGCUUUAGCAUCCUCUCGUACUGCAUGCAUCAGCACUUUAUUACUACAGUGGCUCCGCGGAGCUGGCAGGCAGAGCAGCUAUCCUGACUCAGAUCAACCUACCUGGUAAAAUACAUGGGGUUACUUUUUCUCUUAGUAUUAUUUCCCUGUGAGGGAAUAUUGCCCACCUAGAAGUGCCUAGAAAUUUGGAAUGAAUUCGGUCUUCUGCUCCUCUGCUCGCAGUGCCACUCCUACCCAUGGUAGGAGACAUAGAACAGCAUGUGAUGUUACAUACCAUAUGUUCUGAAACACCGAGCAAAUUGCAAGUGGCAAGAAGUGCUCCUUGUUAUGGGAAAGUUCAGAGUGCUGAGCAAAACGGAUGAUGGUUUUUUGGUUGGUUGGUUGGUUGGUUGGUUGGUUGUUGGUUGGGUUUUUUGUUGUUGGUUUUUCCACAUUCUUGGGACAGAGUUGUCCCCUUUUGACAAUACUGUGGUCCCUGAAAUGAAAGAAAUAGCUUUAAACUUGCCUCCAGGCUUGACCUUCACUCCUACUCCACAGGUCUAAUAUACAUAAAUCGAUUUUCUGAUGCAAGUGAAUACAGACAGACACCUAUCAGUGUUCGAGAUUGCAGAGCCAAACGUUGUUUGUGAGAGACCUGUGAUGCUUAUGUUUGCUAUUUUAGAAAGUAGCUCAAAAAAUAUUGUCUAAAAUAUGGGCUAAUUUAGACCAUAAAUACACAGAUGACAGCAUUGCUCAGCUCUCGCAGAAGAAUUUUAGAUACCGAAGCGUCUUUCCUCAAUCAGGGACUGAUGCACUAAGCACAGUGCUCAGUAUUGUACCCAUAUUCCAGUGUUUUCAUAGUCACAAAUGCACACCUCAAGCAGCUGUAAGAGUGGGAAAUCACCUCUUAUUUUCCUAGACCGUCAAGUUUCUAUGCUUUGUAUU